rnacentral:rRNA from 1 species
UAGUACCCGGAGGAAGAGAAAGAAAAUUCGAUUCCCUUAGUAGCGGCGAGCGAAACGGGAAGAGCCCAAACCAACAAGCUUGCUUGUUGGGGUUGUAGGACACUCUAUACGGAGUUACAAAGGACGACAUUAGACGAAUCAUCUGGAAAGAUGAAUCAAAGAAGGUAAUAAUCCUGUAGUCGAAAAUGUUGUCUCUCUUGAGUGGAUCCUGAGUACGACGGAGCACGUGAAAUUCCGUCGGAAUCUGGGAGGACCAUCUCCUAAGGCUAAAUACUCUCUAGUGACCGAUAGUGAACCAGUACCGUGAGGGAAAGGUGAAAAGCACCCCGGAAGGGGAGUGAAAUAGAACCUGAAACCGUGUGCUUACAAGUAGUCAGAGCCCGUUAAUGGGUGAUGGCGUGCCUUUUGUAGAAUGAACCGGCGAGUUACGAUUUGAUGCAAGGUUAAGCAGUAAAUGUGGAGCCGUAGCGAAAGCGAGUCUGAAUAGGGCGUUUAGUAUUUGGUCGUAGACCCGAAACCAGGUGAUCUACCCUUGGUCAGGUUGAAGUUCAGGUAACACUGAAUGGAGGACCGAACCGACUUACGUUGAAAAGUGAGCGGAUGAACUGAGGGUAGCGGAGAAAUUCCAAUCGAACCUGGAGAUAGCUGGUUCUCUCCGAAAUAGCUUUAGGGCUAGCCUCAAGUGAUGAUUAUUGGAGGUAGAGCACUGUUUGGACGAGGGGCCCCU